rnacentral:lncRNA from 10 species
AUAGCAUUUCAAAUAUCUAGAAUCUAAUCAAAACUUCCUAGACAUGCAAAGAAGCAGAACAGCAUAACCCCUAAUCACGAGAAAACUCAGUAAAUAAAAAUAGAACUAGAAAUUGCAGGGGUGAUUUAAUUAAAGACUCUGAGAAACAGCAUUAUAAGUAUGUUCAUGUUCAAGGUUUAAAUAAAGUAAAACAUGACUCUAACAAAGGAAUAGAGACUGUCUGUUAAAUGGAAACCAUACAAAGGAACCAGAUGAAAUUCUGUAGCUAAAAAUAUAAUUAAAUGAAAAAUUUGCUGUACCAGCUUAAUAGAAGAUUAGAUACUCCAGGAGAAAAGAUUAGUGAAUUUUAAAACCAGGUAAUCAAAAUAAUAAAGAAAAAAGAAAAAAGAAGUCUUUAGAAAACUGGUAGAGCCUCAGUGAUCUCUGAGACGAUAUAAGUCUAACAAAUACAUAAUCAGAGUCUCAGAAAAGAGAAAAAGCAUGGGGCACAAAAAUGUUUGAAGAACCAAUAGCCUAGAAUUUCAAAAUACUAUAUGAAAUAGAAACACAUAGAUUUAAGAACCAAACCAAACCAAAAGCAGAAUAAACACAAAUGAAAAUCACACCAAGACACAUCAUAAUCAAAUUACUGACAAUGAAUAAUAAAGAAAACAUCCUUGAAGCAGCCAACGGGAAAAAAGACACAAACACUUAAUAGGAAAAAAAUUAUAAAAUAACUCUUUAACUUUUCAUCAGAAACAAAGCCAGAAAACAACAGUAACAAUAAAAUGAUAUUGUUAAGGUUCUUGGGGGAUGGGUGGGAUGGAGUGUCAACUUAGGAUUCUAGAUCCAGAGAAAAAUGUCAUGAAAAAAGAAAGUAAAAUGGACAUUUUCAGACAAAUAAAGCUGAGAUCAUUUAUUACCAGUAACCUCCA